rnacentral:rRNA from 1 species
UACGGGGGGAGCAAGCGUUGUUCGGAUUUACUGGGCGUAAAGGGCGCGUAGGCGGCCACUGCAAGUCGGUUGUGAAAUCUCCGGGCUUAACCCGGAAAGGUCAACCGAUACUGCAGGGCUAGAGUGCAGAAGGGGCAACUGGAAUUCUCGGUGUAGCGGUGAAAUGCGUAGAUAUCGAGAGGAACACCUGCGGCGAAGGCGGGUUGCUGGGCCGACACUGACGCUGAUGCGCGAAAGCCAGGGGAGCGAACGGG